rnacentral:rRNA from 1 species
GACGAACGCUGGCGGCGUGCUUAACACAUGCAAGUCGAACGGCAAGGCGCUGCUUUUGUUGGGUGCUCGAGUGGCGAACGUGUGUGUAACACGUGAGUAACCUGCCCUUGACUUUGGGAUCACUUCAGGAAACUGGGGCUAAUACCUGAUAGGAGCUCCUGCUGCAUGGUGGGGGUUGGAAAGUUUCGGCGGUUGGGGAUCGACUCGCGGCUUAUCAGCUUGUUGGGGGGGUAGUGGCUUACCCAGGCUUUGACGGGUAGCCGGCCUGAGAGGGUGACCGGCGACACUGGGACUGAGAGACGGCCGAGACGGCGACGUGAGGCAGCAGGGGGGAAUAUUGCACAAUGGGCGGAAGCCUGAUGAAGCAACGCCGCGUGCGGGAUGACGGCUUUCGGGGGGUAAACCGCUUUCGCCUGUAACGCAGCGGGAGUGACGGUAAUGGGUAAAGAAGGACCGGCUAACUACGUG